UUUACAUUUGUGGAAUUCAUCAGUUUAUAGUUAUAUGCACUGUGAUUUCUUAAUGUCCAUCGAGAGGCAAAGUUUACUUUAGUAUGAUCUUCAACCAUCUACCUCUUUACAUGUUGGUUUAUGAUAAUGUGCUUAACUUCCUCUGCUUAAUUAUUUGUGUAGAACUUAAUUAUCUGGUGUUGCAGUACUGGGUCACAUCUGCUUGCUGCUUCAAUGUGCUUAUCUUCCUCUCCUUGUUUUAUGUGUCAUUCAUUGGACAGUGCUCAUUCCUCUUCAAAUUGG
rnacentral:misc_RNA from 1 species